rnacentral:rRNA from 1 species
CCUACGUGAGGCAGCAGUGAGGAAUAUUGGUCAAUGGACGAGAGUCUGAACCAGCCAAGUAGCGUGAAGGAUGACUGCCCUAUGGGUUGUUAACUUCUUUUAUAUGGGAAUAAAAUGUUCCACGUGUGGGCUUUUGUAUGUACCAUAUGAAUAAGGAUCGGCUAACUCCGUUCCAGCAGCCGCGGUAAUACGGAAGAUCCGUGCGUUAUCCGGAUUGAUUGGGUAUAAAGGGAGCGUAGGUGGAUUUUUAAGGCAGUUGUGAAAGUUUGCGGAUCAACCGUAAAAUUGCAGUUGAAACUGGCAGUCUUGAGUACAGUAGAGGUGGGCGGAAUUCGUGGUGUAGCGGUGAAAUGCUUAGAUAUCACGAAGAACUCCGAUUGCGAAGGCAGCUCACUGGACUGCAACUGACACUGAGGCUCGAAAGUGUGGGUAUCAAACAGGAUUAGAUACCCGAGUAGUC